GAUGAACGCUGGCGGCGUGCCUAAUACAUGCAAGUCGAGCGAACGGACGAGAAGCUUGCUUCUCUGAUGUUAGCGGCGGACGGGUGAGUAACACGUGGAUAACCUACCUAUAAGACUGGGAUAACUUCGGGAAACCGGAGCUAAUACCGGAUGAUAUUUUGAACCGCAUGGUUCAAAAGUGAAAGACGGUCUUGCUGUCACUUAUAGAUGGUUCCGCGCUGCAUUAGCUAGUUGGUAAGGUAACGGCUUACCAAGGCAACGAUGCAUAGCCGACCUGAGAGGGUGAUCGGCCACACUGGAACUGAGACACGGUCCAGACUCCUACGGGAGGCAGCAGUAGGGAAUCUUCCGCAAUGGGCGAAAGCCCGACGGAGCAACGCCGCGUGAGUGAUGAAGGUCUUCGGAUCGUAAAACUCUGUUAUUAGGGAAGAACAUAUGUGUAAGUAACUGUGCACAUCUUGACGGUACCUAAUCAGAAAGCCACGGCUAACUACGUG
rnacentral:rRNA from 1 species